rnacentral:rRNA from 1 species
UGGUAAUCUUGAAAUGUUUGUGAAUCUUCUUUCUGGAACGUAUAUCUUUCCUUGAUUGGACGGGUAUAUAAUUCAGAUCAUUUACUGUGAGUAAAUGAGAGUGUUCAAAGCAGGCUUAUGCAAUGCUUGAAUCGUUUAGCAUGGAAUAAUAAAAUAAGACUUUGAGUCUAUUUUGUUGGCUUAUAGAUUUAAAGUAAUGAUCAAUAGGGAUAGUUGGGGGUGCUCAUAUUCAGGGGGUAGCGGUGAAAUGCAAUGAUCCUCUGAAGAUGAACUAAUGCGAAAGCAUUCACCAAGGAUAUUUUCUUUGAUCAAGAACGAAAGUUGGGGGAUCGAAGACGAUCAGAUACCGUCGUAGUCUCAACCAUAAACGAUGCCGACUAGGGAUUGGCGGUCGUUGUUUUCCAGACUCCGUCAGGACCUUAGAGAAAUCAAAGUCUCUGGGUUCUGGGGGGAGUAUGGUCGCAAGGCUGAAACUUAAAGGAAUUGACGGAAGGGCACCACCAGGAGUGGAGCCUGCGGCUUAAUUUGACUCAACACGGGGAAACUUACCAGGUCCGGACAUAGUAAGGAUUGACAGAUUGAAGCUCUUUCUUGAUUCUAUGGGUAGUGGUGCAUGGCCGUUCUUAGUUGGUGGAGUGAUUUGUCUGGUUAAUUCCGAUAACGAGCGAGACCUCAGCCUGCUAAUUAGUUACGGGAAUCUUUGGAUUUCUUUUAGUAUCUUCUUAGAGGGACUAUCGG